AUGUGGUAUAAGAUUUUUUUCCAUUUUAUUCAUUUUUCAGAAGAAACAAGGAGAGAAAGGCUUAUCUAUGAACUUUGUGCUUUUUUUAGACAAUUGUCAACCUAUUCAAGGAAUCAGUGCUUUAACGAUGGAAAACAGAACAUUAAAAAAUAUGGUGUUUAUGGAUAUCAAGAACAGACUUUUGGACUCGGUGGAAGAAGGAGAAGGUGGGAUGAUUUGAGAGAAUGGCAUUGAAACAUACAUAUUACUAUAUGUAAAAUAGCCAGUGGGAGUUUGAUGUAUGACACAGGGCACCCAAAGCCAGUGCUCUGUGACACCUGGAGGGGUAGGGUGGGGAGGAGAGUGGGAGGGGGCUUCAGGAUGGAGGGGACACAUAUACCUGUGGUCGAUUCAUAUUGAUGUAUGGCAAAAACCAUCACAAUACUGUAAAGUAAUUAUUCUCCAAUUAAAUAAAUUUUUAGAAACUUAAAUAUGGUGUUUAUAUGUGUACAUUUUGUUUAGACUUGUAAAUAUGUGUGUGAAUGAAAUAAUCAAGAAUGAUUACCUGAGUAAUGACAUUUGCUUCAGCUUCUUACAAAGUGUGUACUAUUUGAAGUUUAACUGCCUAUUUUAUAUUUAAUCAAAAUCAUGAUUUUCCUCCAGAAGAGCUCAAAGUUUGAUAUAAAACAAAGGAUAUGUAAAUAAGUUCAGUAUAAUUAUAAUAACAAUAUGGCCAACCCUUAGUUAUCUUAGAUUAGUAAUUAUUUACCGUUCUUGUUGCUGUGUGUUAACAUACAUCUGCAUAGGAGGAAAGUAAAGAUAAAAGUCAAUGAAACUCAAAUUAAUUCGAUUUUCUUCUUGUUAGCAAUUGAAAAAAAAAUGUAGAAAAAGAAUGACAGUAUUGCUUGUGUCAGACAACCCAUCCUUAUAUAAUAUUUUUAACCUUUGUAACCAUUUACAUAUCUGAUAAGUGGUGGUAAUAUAAUCAACCUUAGGAAAUUGUGAGAAUUAAAUAAUGUGCAGGAAAAAAGCUGUGCGUGGUACAUAGUAAAGACUCAAUAAAUAUCAGCUUUAAUUAUUUGAAAUCAAAAGAUACACAUACCUUUUAUUUUUUGCAUAUGGCAUAUUUCAGUUUCCUUUGUUAAUACUAUUUAAAAGUAGAAUGGAUUUCAGAAGUUGUAAACUAUAGCUUCCAAAUAUAAUUUCCAUAAUAACUACAAUCUAUAAUAAUAGAAAUAUUAAUGGGAAUAUUUGGGAAUAUUCACAAAUAUUUUGUACCAAAGGGUACAAAAUUGUACCCUUUAUUUCUUUAAAGGGUACAGUUUUCAUGAAGACAGAACAGUAAAAAUGCUUCAAGUGAUUUUAGAGACUUAGUGCCUACCUAGUCUCAAAUCAAGCAGAAUUUGUUAAGUUUUUGUCACACUUGGUAGUUUAGUACCAAACUUUAUGGGAGCAAAAGUAUUGAAGAGCUUUAAAUCAUUAAGUAAACAUUUUUUUCGUGGAAGAUUCUCUCUGCACAUUCAGUAAUGACAGUGAUUCUGCCCUUCUGGCAGUGAUGUUAACUUUCAUCACUUUGCUUAGGUGGUGUCUGCUGGGUUUCCCCUCUGUAAAUUUACUAUUUUUCUCCUUAUUUUUAAUAAAUACCAUAUGGAGAGAUGCCUCGAUUAGUUGCAAAUAUCCUAUUCUCCUCAUUUACCUGUUAAUUUGAACUGGAAUCUGUUGAUGGUUCUUGCUUGCAAAAGUUGGUGUUUACCUAAUGGUAAUUAUUUUCCUCAUUCCUUCUACAGUUAUUAUUUGGAAUUCUUCUGUGAAAAAGCCAUCCUUUUCCCUCAUUUAUUUAUACAAUCAUUUAUUUAUGUCAGACUCAUGGAUAUUUAGAGAAUUGUCACUUUUCAGUAAUAGAUAAAUACAGAAGUUGAGAGCACUGGCUCUGAAAUCAGACAGCCUGGAUUUGAGUCUGCUGUUGAGUAGUUGCAGGACAGUGGUAAGUUACGUAAGUGAUUAGUGACUCAGUUUCCGCAUUUGUUAAAUGGAGAAAAUAACACCUGUUUCAGGUUAU
rnacentral:lncRNA from 1 species